GAAUCAUAACUUCCAUCUGUAGGACUUUUGGGGGGAAUUUUAAGAUUGGAAGUUCCCAUUGAAGCUCCAACAAACUUCGUGACAUUUGCAUGGUCAAGUUUAUGCCAAACAGCAACCUCUUGCUGAAAUGAUGCCCGGAGAGCAGCAAUUUCAGCAGCUGUGGCAAUGCCAUCCUCCCCCCAGUUCAAUAUCUUCACAGCAACGUCUUGACCAUCAUAAUUGCCUCUAUACACAGUCCCAUAAGUCCCCCGAGCAAUAACAUGCCUUAUAUCCAGUUUGCUCAAAUCAAUCUCCCACGCUUCCCUUCUUGUCUGGACUUCUCUGUCCCUUGACCAAGCACGGCUGAGGUGCUUCUCUAGUUGAAUAUCCCAGCUCUUGAAAUCAAUUUUAUCUGCUCUAAAAUACAUUUCCCUAUUGCUAAUACUACCCACAUCCUUCAACUUUGAAUUCAAGCUCUUUUUCACAGCGCCAGAAGUAGCAUCUACUUCAUGGGUAUCGCCCCGUUCGACUUCCUUGCCAUUGUUUGAUUCCAUUUUUUUUUUUUUUUAAUCUUCUAUAUAUGAACUCUCAACUUUAACUGAAGAAGAAGAAUUAAAAGUUGAGAACGGAAAAUUUAUUGACAAACAAUUUACUUCCUGAAGCUAUAAAACAAAGUAGUCAUAAAACCUGAUUAAUCUAUCAAAGCUCCAAUUCCAGAACUACAAAAAAGCAUAAAAGC
rnacentral:misc_RNA from 1 species